CAUCGACAAACCAUACCACACGAGGCUCCAAUCUAUAGUAUGUUUACUAGAGUAGCAUCCCGAGGCUGGAAGACUUGACCAAUUCCUUCAGUCUCUCUCACGACUGACUAAUCAGCUGAAGUGCUACUAAAUCGGCCCUUCGUCCGCGUUUACCAAACUUCAUUUCCCCUCUUCCAAGCCCUAAUAAAGAUGCCCAAUCUUCCGCAGGAGCUCAUCACCGACAUCCUCACCCGGCUGCCGGUCAAGUCCCUCCUGAGAUUCAGGUGCGUAUCGAAACCAUGGUGCAGCGUGAUUGAUAGCCGUAGUUUCAUCAAAAUGCAUCUGCUUCAGUCCAAAAAGACUGGCUCAAAUUUGUUCCUCAUGCUUGGAUUCUUGGGGAUUUAUUCUGUUGAGUUGGAUUCUCUCGACGCUGCCAAUAGGCUUCGCCCGCCAUACUCCGCCUCAGAUGUAUCCAACUCUUGCAAUGGCUUAAUCCUUGUUUUGGCUAAAAUCCCUUUUAUUUGGAACCCCUUCACUAGAAAGUACAGGGAAUUACCGGCUACUCCGGUCGAACAACCGGUUGAUUUUGAGGUUGGUUCUGCUUAUGUGACUUAUGGGUUUGCUUAUGAUGCUGUGAAUGAUGAUUAUAGAGUGGUCAGGGUUGAGGAGUUUAGAGGCUUUGAUUCGGAGUGGAUUAGGUCUGAGGCGAAGCUUUAUAGUUCUAAGUCGGAUAAGUGGCGAAAGAUCAAAAAUUUCCCUUAUCAGCUUCCUUAUAAGAGGGCCUGGGGUGCUCAUUUGAAUGGUGUUUUGCAUACGGGAGUGAGAACAGGGGAUCUUGGUUACUUCGACUCGUCGAUUUGGGCUUUUGAUGUUCGGACUGAGCAGCAUUAUACCUUGCCAAAACCGGAUUUUACAGGUACUGAUCUUGAGUUCACUGUGGAGGUCUUGGGUGGUUGUCUGUGUUUGGUUCGUCCUCGAAAGAGGUAUCGAACGGAUGUAUGGAUAAUGAAGGAAUAUGGAGUGAAAGAAUCUUGGACUAAAUUGCUAACAAUCGCUCCUCCACUCGUUGAGCGGUAUAUUACCAUUGGCCCGUUGGCUUAUUCAAGGAACGGUGAAGAGGUUCUCUUGAACCACGACGAUAAACAACUUAUUUGGUAUGAUUUGAGAAGGAAGACUGUUAGGAAUGUCUCUGUUGAUGGUUUGCCAUUUGUCUUUUAUGCUGAGGUAUGUGUUGCAAGCCUCAUUCAGCCUGAUGUCUCCGGAGAAGGGGAUGAAACUGAGGAGCUACGCCAACAGGAGAAAAGUAGAGUGAAAAAAAGGGUUGAUUUCCUGUCAGAGGGAUUUAAACUGGUGCUAUGAAAAAAUUGGCAGCAACUGGAGCGAACUAAGCUGGGAACUUGCUGAACAGAUGUGAAAGUGAUGAAGUGAAGACAGUGAAGAGUAGUGCUAAUUGUUUUGUUAUGUAGUUUUAAAACCUUUAGCCGCUUGUUGCAUAUAUCCGCCUGAUAUCUUGUUUUAGCCAAUGCAUUUAACUCUGGAGUAGUGAAUGUGAUAUUAAUUGCGUGCAGUAGCUGACACUGGCGUUUGUGUUUGCAAUUUUUAUAUAUCAAGGGACAUGCUAUGGUAAAAUGUUGGUGAUUCUAAACUAAGAAGUUAGGUUGUGUUGCAAGGUGAAAUGAUCAUUGAUUUAUGAUGAUCAUCUAGAAGGCAGUUUGAUGGAAUGAUCUUUGUGAUAUUUGUGGUGACUGGACAGAGCAGGUUGUAUAAUUAGAGCUUUAAAGAAAUCUGCAACAUGGCUUCACUUGGCAUCAACGUUAUCAGAGUCCCACUGUGGUAUACCUGAACGAAGAAGAACCAAGACUUGAGCUGGUAAGGGAGAGCCCACACCGGAAAAUGAUGUUGGAAUCGAAGUCUCAAGUUUUGACUCUUGCCAAGGGAAAGAUGUUAGGUAUAUAUUAUUGUUGUGUAUCACACGUUGCACUGUACACCAUAUACUCUACGGAGGCAAUGCAAUGUGGCGUGAUGGUGCGAUUUUUCCACCAUCUCAAGCAAAUGGUAGUGGAUCACUUCUUUGGUAAAUUAUGAUGAUUUUCAAAACAAUCAUAAUCCGAAGUUUGAAGAAACGACCUACUAUCAUUAUCUUGUUCCGGGUGAAUGGUAGGUGAUUCGAUAGGUGACGCGGUCCCCCUUUUGUUUGGAUUGCUGGUUUCUGCAGCAAAAUUUUUACAUUUUUUGUAAAUAUAUUUUUUAAUUAA